AGAUUGCUCUAUCAGAGUGAGGUAGUAGAUUGUAUAGUUGUGGGGUAGUGAUUUUACCCUGUUCAGGAGAUAACUAUACAAUCUAUUGCCUUCCCUGAGGAGUAGAC
ensembl:miRNA MIRLET7F-2 microRNA let-7f-2